GACGAACGCUGGCGGCGUGCUUAACACAUGCAAGUCGAACGGAAAGGCCCUGCUUUUGUGGGGUGCUCGAGUGGCGAACGGGUGAGUAACACGUGAGUAACCUGCCCUUGACUUUGGGAUAACUUCAGGAAACUGGGGCUAAUACCGGAUAGGAGCUCCUGCUGCAUGGUGGGGGUUGGAAAGUUUCGGCGGUUGGGGAUGGACUCGCGGCUUAUCAGCUUGUUGGUGGGGUAGUGGCUUACCAAGGCUUUGACGGGUAGCCGGCCUGAGAGGGUGACCGGCGACAUUGGGACUGAGAUACGGCCCAGACUCCUACGGGAGACAGCAGUGGAGAAUAUUGCACAAUGGGCGGAAGCCUGAUGCAGCAACGCCGCGUGCGGGAUGACGGCCUUCGGGUUGUAAACCGCUUUCGCCUGUGACGAAGCGUGAGUGACGGUAAUGGGUAAAGAAGCACCGGCUAACUACGUG
rnacentral:rRNA from 1 species